AGUACAUAGAUCACUCGUUGCAUGCUGAGACAUGAAUUCACAUUACUACCACUUCGGAAAGUAUCAAUAUCCUACGUGUAAAAUGGACUAGAAGAUACUGAUAAUAUUAAUUGUUUUAUGCAAUAUGGCAAUACAGCAGAUCACUCAAGGCUUGCUGAGACAUGACUACGCAUUCAUACCACUUGGGAAAAUAUCAUCAUCCUACGUUGAAAAUUAACUAGAAGAUACUGAUAAUUAUAUAGGUUUUAUGCAAUAUGGCUGUACAUAGAUCACUCGAUGCAUGCUGAGACAUGAAUUCACAUUUCUACCACUUCGGAAAGUAUCAAUAUCCUAUGUUGAAAAUCGACUAGAUGAUACUGAUUACAAUAAUAGUUUUAUGUAAAGUACGAGUAAUGGAUAUUGAAUAUAAUUGAUAGUGACAUAAUUGUAGUAUAACAAAAACUUAGUGUCAUGAAAUCCAGACCAUUAGAUUAAGUAAAUAAUUCUUAUUUA